UACGGGGGGAGCAAGCGUUGUUCGGAUUUACUGGGCGUAAAGGGCGCGUAGGCGGUCAGCACAAGUCGGUUGUGAAAUCUCCGAGCUUAACUCGGAAAGGUCAACCGAAACUGUGCGACUAGAGUGCAGAAGGGGCAACUGGAAUUCCUGGUGUAGCGGUGAAAUGCGCAGAUAUCAGGAGGAACACCGAUGGCGAAGGCAGGUCUCUGGGCAUUAACUGACGCUGAGGAGCGAAAGCAUGGGGAGCGAACAGG
rnacentral:rRNA from 1 species